AUUGAACGCUGGCGGCAUGCCUUACACAUGCAAGUCGAACGGUAACGCGGGGCAACCUGGCGACGAGUGGCGAACGGGUGAGUAAUGCAUCGGAACGUGCCCAGUAGUGGGGGAUAGCCCGGCGAAAGCCGGAUUAAUACCGCAUACGACCUACGGGUGAAAGCGGGGGACCGCAAGGCCUCGCGCUAUUGGAGCGGCCGAUGUCAGAUUAGGUAGUUGGUGGGGUAAAGGCCUACCAAGCCUACGAUCUGUAGCUGGUCUGAGAGGACGACCAGCCACACUGGGACUGAGACACGGCCCAGACUCCUACGGGAGGCAGCAGUGGGGAAUUUUGGACAAUGGGGGCAACCCUGAUCCAGCCAUGCCGCGUGCGGGAAGAAGGCCUUCGGGUUGUAAACCGCUUUUGUCGGGGAAGAAACGCUCCGGGCUAAUACCCUGGAGUAAUGACGGUACCCGAAGAAUAAGCACCGGCUAACUACGUGCCAGCAGCCGCAGUAAUAC
rnacentral:rRNA from 1 species